rnacentral:rRNA from 1 species
AUUGAACGCUGGCGGCAGGCUUAACACAUGCAAGUCGAGCGGGCGAGGUUGCUUCGGUAACUGAGCUAGCGGCGGACGGGUGAGUAAUGCUUAGGAAUCUGCCUAUUAGUGGGGGACAACAUUCCGAAAGGAAUGCUAAUACCGCAUACGCCCUACGGGGGAAAGCAGGGGAUCUUCGGACCUUGCGCUAAUAGAUGAGCCUAAGUCAGAUUAGCUAGUUGGUGGGGUAAAGGCCUACCAAGGCGACGAUCUGUAGCGGGUCUGAGAGGAUGAUCCGCCACACUGGGACUGAGACACGGCCCAGACUCCUACGGGAGGCAGCAGUGGGGAAUAUUGGACAAUGGGCGCAAGCCUGAUCCAGCCAUGCCGCGUGUGUGAAGAAGGCCUUUUGGUUGUAAAGCACUUUAAGCGAGGAGGAGGCUACUUGGAUUAAUACUCUAGGAUAGUGGACGUUACUCGCAGAAUAAGCACCGGCUAACUCUGUGCCAGCCGCCGCGGUAAAAC